GGGGACGUAGCUCUAAUUGGUCAGAGCGCCUGUUUUGCAAACAGGGGAUUAUGGGUAUCUCCUUCGGAGACGCUCCGCGACCGAAUCCCAUCGGCUCCA
rnacentral:tRNA from 1 species